rnacentral:rRNA from 1 species
GCCCUACGGGAGGCAGCAGUGAGGAAUAUUGGUCAAUGGGCGGAAGCCUGAACCAGCCAAGUCGCGUGAGGGAAUAAGGCCCUACGGGUCGUAAACCUCUUUUGCCGGGGAGCAAGGGCGGGGACGUGUCCCGGCCCGGAGAGUACCCGGAGAAAAAGCAUCGGCUAACUCCGGGCCAGCAGCCGCGGUAAUACGGAGGAUGCGAGCGUUAUCCGGAUUUAUUGGGUUUAAAGGGUGCGUAGGCGGGCUUUUAAGUCAGCGGUAAAAAUUCGGGGCUCAACCCCGGCCGGCCGUUGAAACUGGGG